rnacentral:misc_RNA from 1 species
UGUUACCACUGGCUGGCAUGU